rnacentral:rRNA from 1 species
AUUGAACGCUGGCGGCAUGCUUUACACAUGCAAGUCGAACGGUAACAGGCCGCAAGGUGCUGACGAGUGGCGAACGGGUGAGUAAUGCAUCGGAACGUGCCCAGUCGUGGGGGAUAACUACUCGAAAGAGUAGCUAAUACCGCAUACGAUCGAUGGAUGAAAGCGGGGGACCGGAAGGCCUCGCGCGAUUGGAGCGGCCGAUGUCAGAUUAGGUAGUGGGUGGGGUAAAGGCCUACCAAGCCAACGAGCUUGAGCUGGUGUGAGAGGACGACCGGCCACACGGGGACUGGACCACGGCCCAGGCUCCUAAGGGAGGGCGCAGUGGGGAAUUUUGGGCAAUGGGGGGAAACCUGGUCCAGCAAUGCCGCGUGCAGGGAGGGGGCCUUCGGGUUGUAAACUGGUUUUGUACGGAACGAAACGGCUCUGGUUAAUACCCGGGGCUAAUGACGGUACCGUAAGAAUAAGCACCGGCUAACUACGUG